CGUCGAAACGAGCGAGAGUGUACCGCGUGAUCUUGUCGUCACAUGUGGAACGCGAUGCGAUGAGUCAAUGUCGACUCUGACGAUGCGAACCUACACCUUGCUCGCUAUCGCGAUGUACGCCGAAUAUACGUUGAGAUCUUAUCUGACGGACAUUUCAACAACUCCGUUGAUUUGUGAAACGUUGAGGAAUUAUAUUAUCGCUAAAAACGAUACUAAGAGAGACUGAGAGAGGAAGAAUAUGUAGUUGCAAGUUUCGAUAAUAUGUCUUAUAUUCGCAACGAUGUUGCUUUCGCUGUUACUGUGGAACGUGAAAACCAAUAAUCGUAGAUUACCAAUCGCGAUUACCGACGGAUAUCGAACCUACGUUGAAAAAUUGCACAGAAAUAUAACCGCGACGUCGAAACGAAAGAAGAAAAAUAAAGACGACGAAAACAACAGCGACGAUAACGAAAAACCAUCUGUAUUCAAUAAUGAUGAAAAAUACGAUUCGAACGAAAAAAACGAUAAUGAUGAUUUUGUUAUCGACAAUGAUGACGAUAACGAUGACGCUUUGUUGAUGCCACCUCCGUCGCCACUACCACUAUUAUCGAGGAAGAUCUCGAAAUCAUCGAUUGUUAUCAGCGAUGUAACCGACGACGAAGAAAACAAUACGCGAAAACCACUCGAGUCCGCGAGAGGCAGCGAUGAUCGGUCAAGAAAUGAUAACGAGUAGCGGUGUGACGGUGACGACGAUUACGCGAUUACGUCUGAGAAACAGGAUGGCACGUCGUCGUCCGUAGAAACGAGCGACGAAUUUGCAACAACGAACGAAGAAUUAGAAGCGACGAGGAAAAAGAAGGAAGUUGUGUCUGCGAAGUCAUCGGAGGUUAUCGUACCGAUCGCGUCUCGAUCAACGGAAACGGACAGUGACGACGGAAGAGAACGCGUUGCGAACGAAACGAAGGUCGAAGACGAUACUACAACCAGAUAAAAAUUUACGAUGAGUACACGUGAAGCUCCCGUGCGAAUCGUAUCUCCGAAUUCUAUCUAUUCAUCACACUUUACUCAUGACGCCGAAGAUUCCAUUAUCAGUCGCGACAAUUCGUUUCGAAUUUUGUGGCGCGUCUUUGCAACGUCACCGUAACCUUGCGUCGACGCGUGACGACGCAACGACGACAGAGCCGCAAUUUCGUUUCGCGUGGGAUGAAACCAUCGCGGCUGCUUGGCUUCGUGUCGUUGAGAACACCGGGACAAGUAGAACGAAACAAUCCGUGAUAAGAACCUACGGCGCGCAGAAGCGCGACGAAUAUAUCCGAUCGAUGACGAUCGACCUCGGCAAAACGACGACGACGAAAGGAACAUCUUCGAUAAGACGAUAACGAUUCGUCCACGAAAUACGACUCGUCGGCGAAAAGCUUCAACGUUCUAUCGUUGUUGUUCGAAUCGACGAGCGAACUUUUCUCUUCGUUGUCACGUUUAACAACGACCACGACGAUGUCGCUCCAACGUUCCUCGUCGACGCGAAUCCACGGAACAUUGAUCGCCCACCAACGAUGCAAAGUUUUUAUCGCUUCGCUCAGAACCGAAGAGACGAGUUCGUAAUUUUUCGAUUCACCACCGUGACAAAGUCGCACCAGCGUUUCACGAAGAAUCGACGCGUUCACGUAGAUACGAUUCACGGUUGUUCGUUCGAAUCGCCACGGAUAAUAUCGUACUUCGUAAGAACAAGAAUCCACACGCAUGAUCGACACCGCGAACGACAAUGACGAUAAGAUCGAUAAUGUCAAUAACAAUAAUGAUAAUUUUAUCGCGACACACGACAUCGUUAUCACUGUUAAUCGAUAGAAACGAGCCAUGACGAUCGAUACCCUUGGACGAAUCGAUCUUCACGUUGUGGCUGGGGAGCGAAAGAAUUCUUUUUAAAGUCAUCGGCGUUCCGGCGAUACUAGCAACAAUGUUGACUGAUAACGAUGCGAACGACACCACCUCGAGUGGUAUGAUCGUGGCCGAUGAUUAUUUGGAAGCGUUCGUCGAAAGUAAACUCUACGAUUCGCUCAAUCGAAACAACGGUUUGUUCAAUUUGUCGUUCGACGUUGCCACGGCUGCACAGAGACAUCAUUUUGUCGUAAAAUUUGACGACAGACGGAAACGCGUUCGAUUGACGAAUGACAAUGUCGUGUCGUUACCUAUGUGGCGUAUAUGUAGUUUCGAACGAUCGUCUUCUCGAUCCCGACAACCGAUCGUAUCAUCGAUCGUUGAAACUAUCGAGAGAUUCGUUCCGACGUUGUCCGGUUUGCGUGCGAACGAUCCGUCGUUGAAACGUUCAUACGUAGAUGGUGUUCUGAAACAUUUGAAGAGUGGGAAUUGGAAAGCACAUUUCUUUAUUCUAAAUUACAUAUUCGACGUAAAAAUGAACGAAUUAUUAAACGGGAUGCGACGACGCAUCGAGGUUCUCAUUGACAAUCUAACAACGAUCGAUAAUCGUUAAAUACAUAUUCAUCGCGAGUGUAUAACACCGCAUCGUCACCGGUGUACAAUCCUUCGAUCGUGGGCGCGACUAUUCUUCUUCCGUCGAUAUCGCUGAACGUUACGACGAUUUUAUCGCAUUCGUUGAACGCGUCUCUGGCUCGAAUAUCGUAUUCCAUUUCGUCGUUCGAUCCGCAAACAACGUAAUCGUAAUCAACGUUGUCAUUACUCGCGAGCGAAGAUACGACGCGUCGGUUAACGAUAAAAACCUCGCAAAAUUUGUUGGAUGCAGAUGUCCAGCGCAUAAAAAUCCAGGAGCUACCAAUGUACAGAAACAUGGGAUUGCUCGAAGCACCGCGGCAAAUAAACGUUACGGCUAAUAAAGAACAUGCUUUCGAGGUGCAAAUUCAUGAGACGCUCGUUUCAGCGUUGCCCAUAGUCACGUGACUUCGAGUUGACGCUAGCGUCAAGAAAAAAAACUGGAUUUUUUCAGCUUUAGCGUCAAGUCGUGCGAUCUGUGCGAUGAUCUGUCUGUGCGUGCUAUAGUCUAUUCGCUAUUGGAUUUCAUGGAUUGCAUGUCUCAUGUGGUCUUUCAACCUUAUCAAUAAAAAUGGAAGAAUAUGAUUAUGAACUUGUUCAAACAUGUGGGAUGUGCGAAGAAAUAAUCAAUCAAAAGGAUGUUAUAACGCAUGGUUGUCUAGAAGGAUAUAGUUCUUAUACCGUUGAUCCAAACACAUUCUAUUUUUAUCCAUUAGCAGAUGAUGGUGUAACUAUCAUAAGACGAAGC
rnacentral:lncRNA from 1 species